GGAAGUAGGUAGUACGGUGAGAAAAACGGAGAAAACUUGUUUGUUUACAUUGUCUCACGGCCGCAAUGAUGCAGUUAUCCUUCAGAAAGCAAUGGUUGCGGCCACGACAACGUCUCGGCCCGGAAGUUCCUGGACGCGGCCCGGCAGACGGGGGACCAGAUGUUGUUCUACACCAUCUUCAGAUCCUUCCAGCAGAGGAACCAGCGGCUCCGGGGGAGCCCCGCCUUCACCCCAGGGGAACACUGUGACGAUCACGUCUUCCACUUCAAGCAGCUGUUCGGGGAGCAGGCGCUGAUGAAGAACAACACCGUCUGACAGGAAGUGAUGUCACCGCCGUCUGACAGGAAGUGAUGUCACCGCCGUCUACAGGAAGUGAUGUCACUUCCCCAUCAUCAGGUAGCCAUCAGGCAAGUGACAUGUUGAAAUAAAUAAAAAGGAACGAACAUACAGUAUCCAAUCUACUGUUCCCUUUAUCAACCUCGUUUCAAUUACAAAUGUAUUUGUAUGGAAUGUAGAUUUACCAUGUUUGUUUUAGAA